AAAACAUCUGGGGCUGCACGGUGGCUCAUGCCUGUAAUCCCAGCAGUUUGGGAGGUCAACAUGGGUGAAUCACUUGAGGUCAGAAGUUUGGGACCAGCCCAGCCAAUGUGGAUACUCCAGUGAUUUCUGAAAACAUCAUUUCAGGGAGGGGCAAAGGCCCUGAUCAGGAAGUGAAGACAACAUGACUGUGGAGAAGAGAGCCGGGAAGGGAAGAAGCUCAAUAAUGAGUGCAUUCUAGGCCAGCUUCCCCAGUGAG
rnacentral:lncRNA from 1 species